GAAGCAGACCCUCUCAGCUUCUCUCUCUCUCUCUCUCUCUCUCUCUCUCUCUUCCUCAUACACACGCAGCACACGCGCGCGCGCGCAUACACACACGCAAAGUCAAACUCAGACUCACACACGCAGCUGGAUUUGGUUACUAGAUGUUUUCCAGCUUUAAAAAGCCCCCCUUAAGGUUUCAGUAGUAACAAAAAAUGAGUCUUUCUUUUCGAGAAGAUGCAACCCAGAUCUCCUCCACUCCACGCUGCCCAAGCGCUCUCCGGACAUGUGGCAAGAUCCCUCUUCGGUUAUUAUGUAGAUGAAAUGAAUGGGUGAGAUAUCAUGCAUGCUUUGUCAGAUCUUUGAGGACCUUGGCUUCAGCAGUCCCAUGAAACCAAGAAGAUGUGAAGAGAAUCCUGCAGAAACAGAUGAUCUUUAUGCAUGAGAUCGAACGUGACUGGUAUAUGUCCCACUCCCGAGCUCCCAGUGUUCAGAGUUCCCAGUAUGAGCACUUCUUCUUUCCGGACCUGCCUGAUCCAUCCUGACGCUUUACCCCUGGUUGGAGUCUCGUGGCUUUAUGGUGCUCAGUGCUGCUGGAGAUAGAUCUGUGUGGACAGCAUGUGACCCAGAGUAUAGAACCACUUGGAGACUGUUACGUCGUCUUUGACCUGCUGUUGCAUCGGUCAGCUUUCAGCAGGAAGGAAUUAUUUCUCAGAAACUACACUGACCUUUUAGUUCCUCAAGAAUUCUUGGUUGCUGUUAAUGAAAGGACAUUAUCAACGUUUACAUUAUUUACUGUCCAGUGUCACCCAAAUGAGGACGCCUGAGGAGCCUGGUUCCUGUCAAGGUUUCUUCAUCAUAUCAUCUCAGGGAGCUUUUCCUCACCACCGUCACCUCAGGCUUCUCAUUAUAGAAUAAAAUAGUAACUUUAAACUUCAUCAUUUUCUAUGUUAUCUAUGUGAUACAUUUCUUAUGUUCUGUAAAGCUGCUUUGAGACAAUGUCCAUAGUUAAAAGUGUUAGACAGACAGUGACGUAUAGACAUCAUCCGUUAUCCUUUAUUAUUUUCCACGAGUUUCUAGCCACCAGGAGAGACGUAAGGUCAGCCCGGAUGCCUGGAUGUGUGGGAUUGCACAUGUUUCUAGGCCUGGAACACUGCUGGACUAGAAAACACUGGUAACCCGGUAAAUAAAUACAGAAGGACGUGAUCUUUCUUUCCACUGACAUGUUUUUUUGGGGGUGUGUGAAUCUUUUUUUGGCCACAAACCCAAUUCCUGUGUCUGUUAUUUUCAGGGCAGGAGUGUCCCCAUCCUCGGAGUAAUAGAUUUCUUAUAAAAGCCAUGCGGCAUCCUCGCGUGCUGCUGCGCAGAGCAGACCGGCUGCAUGUGCAAGCGGCUCCACUACGAAGUUACGCCGUUACGUUUCUGUCUGCUGAAAACGUAUCAAAGCGUCCAUCCUCCUCGAGCACACACAGACUCACACACACACACACACACAAACGACUGCCUGUCUUUAAUAACACUCAAUUUA